ensembl:lncRNA
CCCAUUUGGUACGAUAAUGCCAGAGUUAAGAUGUUUCCACUGGACACAGAUUAGGCAAAGUAUUCUGUAACGAGCUUGCAACUGCAGUAGGUUCAGUAGAAUCCAUGUGCAGAUGUUUAUUGAUAAUCAAACAGCAAACGGACAAAUCCAAACUUUAGGCAGGGAAUUGUGAUUAGGGUAAUGCAUAGGUUGAUAACACAAUGAGAAGACGGAACUCAAUCCAAUAAUCAUGAAACAAAGGCCGUAGAACUGGUAAUGCUUUGCUAUGAGGGAGUGCAGCAGCAUGGUUUACUGUAGAUGUCCACCUCUAUAACACUCAAAAUGUAACAUCUGAGCCCAAGGCUCAUUUCCCCAGUCACCAUAAGGAGUCAUCUUUCGGCUUCACAUCCACCAUUCACUUCCUGUUUGUUUCAAGGGCCUCCUUGCAUGAGCCAAAUCUGAGUUUAAACUGCUGUAGUUAAAAACUCAAAGGAGUGUGCACUUUUGUUGACAUAUUCUUUCUCUGUUGAUUUUAGGUGGAUAUUGCUUUAAGCCUGAGAAUGCAAAAGCUGCCCUAAGGCUUUUUGAGAUUGAAACAGUCUUGUCCAUGGAGCUGAGGGCAGAGAGACGAAGGGUACCUGUUUCUUCCAUAAAAACAGAGGAAGACUUGACCAAAAUUUUUGCCAGCCAUGGCUACGAUGAAAGACCAGAAAUGAAGAUUCCUGCGCAAAUCACUAAGAAAGCGGCCAGGACAGAGAAGUAUUAUUGACUGUCCACAAAUUCAGACUACAAGUCCACCUUUUAUUUAUUUUUUUAACACAUGAACAAGAGUUUGAUAUGGCUCUAUCCACUUAAGUCGUGACAUAUCAAAUACUGUUUCCAGCUCUAAACAUUUACUUUUUUUCAUGCAGGCCUACUGUUUAUUUAUAGCCAAGCUUCUAAAAAGUUACAAUGUGCAUUUGAGAUCUAAAAUAGUGUUUGGACCCAGAAACUAUGACGUGUGAUGUCAGACUUGACAAAUAACCAUCACAGUUGUUGAUAUAGAGCCAUAUUGGCCAGCAGCCAUAUCACCCUGUAGCCCAAGACUGGUUGCCUACUGAAGCUAAGCGGGGUUGAGCCUGGUCAGUACCUGGAUGGAAGACCUCCUGGGAAAACUAGGUUGCUCGGCAUCCUGGCCAAAUUCGCCCAUUGGCCUCUGACCAUCAUGGCCUCCUAAAAACUCCCCAUAUCUACUGAUUGGCUUCAUCACUGUCUCCUCUCCACCAAUAAACUGGUGUGUGGUAGGCGUUCUGGCA